rnacentral:rRNA from 1 species
GACGAACGCUGGCGGCGUGCUUAACACAUGCAAGUCGAACGGAAAGGCCCUGCUUUUGUGGGGUGCUCGAGUGGCGAACGGGUGAGUAACACGUGAGUAACCUGCCCUUGACUUUGGGAUAACUUCAGGAAACUGGGGCUAAUACCGGAUAGGAGCUCCUGCUGCAUGGUGGGGGUUGGAAAGUUUCGGCGGUUGGGGAUGGACUCGCGGCUUAUCAGCUUGUUGGUGGGGUAGUGGCUUACCAAGGCUUUGACGGGUAGCCGGCCUGAGAGGGUGACCGGCCACAUUGGGACUGAGAUACGGCCCAGACUCCUACGGGAGGCAGCAGUGGGGAAUAUGGCACAAUGGGCGGAAGCCUGAGGCAGCAACGCCGCGUGCGGGAUGACGGCCUUCGGGUUGUAAACCGCUUUAGCCUGUGACGAAGCGUGAGUGACGGUAAUGGGUAAAGAAGCACCGGCUAACUACGUG